rnacentral:rRNA from 1 species
CAAGGACGAACGCUGGCGGCAUGCCUAACACAUGCAAGUCGAACGGAGUAAUGACUUCGGUUAUUACUUAGUGGCGAACGGGUGAGUAGCACGUGAAUAAUCUGCCCUGUACGAUGGGAUAACAGCUGGAAACGGCUGCUAAUACCGUAUAUGACCACGCCGAGGCAUCUCGGAGGGUGAAAGCGCUUAAGCGGUACAGGAUGAGUUCGCGUCCAAUUAGCUAGUUGGUGAGGUAACGGCCCACCAAGGCGACGAUUGGUAGCCGACCUGAGAGGGUGAUCGGCCACACUGGAACUGAGACACGGUCCAGACUCCUACGGGAGGCAGUAGUGGGGAAUAUUGGGCAAUGGAGGAAACUUCCUUACCCAGCAAUGCCGCGUGAGUGAUGAAGGUCUUCGGAUUGUAAAGCUCUUUGAUUGGGGACGAAUAAAUGACGGUACCCAAGGAACAAGCCCCGGCUAACUAUGUGCCAGCCGCCGC